rnacentral:rRNA from 1 species
AGCGAACGCUGGCGGCAGGCUUAACACAUGCAAGUCGAGCGGGCCCUUCGGGGUCAGCGGCAGACGGGUGAGUAACACGUGGGAACGUACCCUUUGGUUCGGAAUAACGCUGGGAAACUAGCGCUAAUACCGGAUACGCCCUUUUGGGGAAAGGCUGGCUGCCGAAGGAUCGGCCCGCGUCUGAUUAGCUAGUUGGUGGGGUAAUGGCCUACCAAGGCGACGAUCAGUAGCUGGUCUGAGAGGAUGAUCAGCCACACUGGGACUGAGACACGGCCCAGACUCCUACGGGAGGCAGCAGUGGGGAAUAUUGGACAAUGGGCGCAAGCCUGAUCCAGCCAUGCCGCGUGAGUGAUGAAGGCCUUAGGGUUGUAAAGCUCUUUUGUCCGGGACGAUAAUGACGGUACCGGAAGAAUAAGCCCCGGCUAACUUCGUG